AUUGAACGCUGGCGGCAUGCUUUACACAUGCAAGUCGAACGGCAGCGCGGGGCAACCUGGCGGCGAGUGGCGAACGGGUGAGUAAUAUAUCGGAACGUACCCAGAAGUGGGGGAUAACGUAGCGAAAGUUACGCUAAUACCGCAUACGAUCUACGGAUGAAAGUAGGGGACCGCAAGGCCUUAUGCUUUUGGAGCGGCCGAUAUCUGAUUAGCUAGUUGGUGAGGUAAAGGCUCACCAAGGCGACGAGCAGUAGCUGGUCUGAGAGGACGACCAGCCACACGGGAACGGAGACACGGUCCAGACUCCUACGGGAGGCAGCAGUGGGGAAUUUUGGACAAUGGGCGCAAGCCUGAUCCAGCAAUGCCGCGUGAGUUAAGAAGGCCUUCGGGUUGUAAAGCUCUUUUGUCAGGGAAGAAACGGUAGAGGCUAAUAUCCUUUGCUAAUGACGGUACCUGAAGAAUAAGCACCGGCUAACUACGUG
rnacentral:rRNA from 1 species